rnacentral:lncRNA from 1 species
AUGAAUUGCAUUUGCUUUGGAUGAUGGUAAGCGAUAUGGUCAUCCCAAUCUCGACGUAUGAUCUCCUGUAUAUACUCUCCCUUCUAAAGAUGUUCAAUGAGCCAGAGUUGUAGUAGCAAAUUGCAACCUUCAAAGUGCGGUGUCCCUUGUUGACAUUUUUCUAAGGCUCGGUACAUUUCGGCGAGGAUCAUGGGUGCUAUGCUGAAUGUCUGCCGAUCGAUACCCUCUAUUAUGGAUUUGGUUACCAUGGCUAGUCUUGUGUGGAUUCUAGCCUUCUCCACUGGGAAGACUAUCAUGCUCAGAAAAUAGAAUAUGAAUAAAAGGCUCUCCUAUGUAUGUGCCCCAAAGAGGUGCAGGAGAACUCGUCCAUGUGAGUGCCGUGAGAUUUUCUAUGUCCGAAC